rnacentral:rRNA from 1 species
CCUACGGGGGGCUGCAGUAAGGAAUAUUGGUCAAUGGAGGAAACUCUGAACCAGCCAUCCCGCGUGAAGGAUGAAGGGGCUCUGCCUUGUAAACUUCUUUUGUCUGGGGCGAAAAAGCUCGAUUUAUCGAGAACUGACGGUACCAGAAGAAUAAGCACCGGCUAACUCCGUGCCAGCAGCCGCGGUAAUACGGAGGGUGCAAGCGUUAUCCGGAAUCACUGGGUUUAAAGGGUGCGUAGGCGGCUUAGUAAGUCAGUGGUGAAAGGCUGUGGCUUAACCAUGGAAUUGCCAUUGAUACUGCAGAGCUUGAAUGAGGUUGAGGUUGGCGGAAUGUGACAUGUAGCGGUGAAAUGCUUAGAUAUGUCAUGGAACACCGAUUGCGAAGGCAGCUGACUGGACCUAUAUUGACGCUGAGGCACGAAAGCGUGGGGAGCGAACAGGCUUAGAUACCCGUGUAGUC